CACCAAGGGUUUUUUUUUAGCAGACACUCCAUGCCAGUCCAAAGCACAAAGGAGUCAAGGGAAAGACUCCUUUAACUACAAUCGAUUUUGGAUGAGCCCCUCUCCAAAAGAACAUUCCAUACCAAUUUACCAGAUGCUCUUGGAUAGCACUGGAUUAUACAGUAGAUAGACCUAUACAGCACAACUCCACAAAUAUCUUCAAUAAUGGCAGAUGAGGCCAGACUGACAGCUCUGACAGGUUACAAAAAUCCAGUGAAAUUCUGCAAGCAACUCAACUGAAAUCAGCUUUCACGCAACUUGUUGCCCCACUUAGCUCAGAUGUCUUCAAUGCUGCCAGCCCUAGGUUAUUCUCUUCUGCAGCAGAUCACAAUAAAAGAGGAUAUUGUAAGGAAAGUUUAGCCUGAAGUCCAACUCUGAAGUGAGGCUAUGAGAUGAGUGUGUCGAAAGAGGGACCUGACAAGAACCAGGCUCUUAUGAAAUCAGAUGGGUGCUAAAAGUGGCUGACAACAGAGAAGAAUUGUAAAGAGAAAGAGAAAUGUGAUGUGCGUUCUUAUUUAUAUUUAAUAGUAAAACGAUGCCUAUGAA